UUGUAUUUAUUUACAAUAAUUGUGUGUGUGUAAUAACAAAUAAACAAUUGUAAAUUUCGAAUGCAGUAACGAUACGAAUGUUCCAACAAGAGCAAACUGAAGGAUGUAUCGCUUAUUUCAUGAAGCAAAUACAGUCAGGGAAACUAUGCAUAACUUUUGACAGAUGUAGGUUAGAGUGAAUCACAUCUUGAAAGUGCUUACCAAAUUACAAGCACAAUCAACCAUAUAUUGCAGGAAAUGGAAUGCAAGAUGGAAUAAUGAUGCUGAGUAAUAAAUACGUGCAAGCUUCUUUGACUUUAUGUGAACUUUAUAUGUUGUUGACAAUAAGACAAAUCAAAAUGGGGGUAUAUUUGCCAUUAUUUGAAUCUGUACAAACAUUGAUGGGAAAAUCACCACCAAAAAUUAUGAAGUAAAAAAAUUGAAUAGAUACAAUAAAGAAAUUAACCAGCGUAGAGUGAAAUACUAAGACAAAUAACAAGAACGUACUCUGUAAAGAAAUGCAAUUACUUUCUCGCAAGAUAUAUCUGGAAAUAUGCUUAAGCAUUUAUUCACACAGUGAUGAGGAAAUUACAACAAACAAAUUAUGAAGUAGAAAAAUAUAAUAGAUACAGUGAACAUAUUAUCUAAAGAAGAAGAUUAUUAAAUUAGAUAAGUUUAUUUUGCAAAUCAUCGACUAUAAAAACAAUGUAAUGCCAGCAUACUUUAAGUAAAUAAAUUAA